UUCUGGCUCAGGAUGAACGCUAGCGGCAGGCCUAACACAUGCAAGUCGCGGGGCAGCACGGGUAGCAAUACCUGGUGGCGACCGGCGCACGGGUGCGUAACGCAUAUGCAACCUGCCCCCAUCAGGGGGAAUAGCCCGCCGAAAGGCGGAUUAAUGCCCCAUAGGCCCAGGGCGCCGCAUGGCGCUAUGGGUAAAGCUCCGGCGGAUGGGGAUGGGCAUGCGUGCCAUUAGCUAGUUGGGGCGGUAACGGCGCACCAAGGCGACGAUGGCUAGGGGGUCUGAGAGGAUGGUCCCCCACACUGGUACUGAGACACGGACCAGACUCCUACGGGAGGCAGCAGUGAGGAAUAUUGGUCAAUGGGCGGAAGCCUGAACCAGCCAUGCCGCGUGCAGGAUGACGGCCCUACGGGUUGUAAACUGCUUUUCCCCGGGAAGAAUAAGCCCCUCGUGAGGGGUGAUGCCGGUACCGGGGGAAUAAGGAUCGGCUAACUCCGUGCCAGCCGCAGC
rnacentral:rRNA from 1 species